GCCCACCAUCCUUUACAAUGACAUCUCGCAUCUUGGUGGGCGCCACAGAGCAGUAGACGAAGUCUCCCGCGUCGUCUCCGGGCCACCCGUCGGCCAGAGCUCGACGGUAACAGAAGAAGGAGAGAGAGAACCUUGAUAAUCGCAAGUCGGCAUCCAUAAGCUCCAUUUCUUGUCGCGAUAGAAAACGAUGUAGAUCUCAGGUUUUGAUUUGUACUACAUGUGUUUGGCGAUUCCUACGUCAGAUUAUCGCCAAAUCGACCUUCUUUUUUUCUUUCCUAUUUCUAGGGAUUUGCUCAUUAAACUGGGAAAUCAUCUUUCCGAGAUGAUUUUACUGAUCGCGCAUCGCCAAGAAAAGAUGAAUGGAUAAAGGAAGGGGAACGAUCGAGACUACAUUCUUUUGAUUUUGGUGGAUGCCAUGGUUUCCGUAACUACUCUUCUUUUCCUUCCUUGGCAAGUCUUGUAGAUCCAAGAAAAUGUUGUUUGUUUGUUUUCCUGAUUUCUUCGAAUUGGAAUGCAUAAAUGAGUGAUUUGCCGAUGAUAUAUGCUUUGCUACUGCCUGAUUUGGGUAACAAUUCGAAGAAAUUGUUGCUACGAUUUGUGGUCGGUGUGGUGAUGGUGGUGGUGGUGGUGUGAUGGCAUUUGAUGUAUUGUUUUUGAUGGACAGGGAGGAAGAUGGUAGUGGUUGUGGCUGGGUUGCAGAUUUGUGGAUACCAUGGCAGAUGAGCCAAGGCAGAGACAGUCUCUUAUCAAGAGCGAUGUACGCAUGAUCCAGGUUUUGUUGCAGAUAUUAAUUCCUUGCAAGUACAUGAUAUACCCUUGGUGAGAUGCAUAUUGUCUUCAACCUCUCUUUAAGUGUAGAUGCUCGAUUGAAUGCUAAUAUUUCUUAGAAGUUCACAUAUGUUUGUAUCCACAGACGAAUGUACAUGAUGCACACACCACGUGUAGAUCUGAGCUAGGCUUCUUUCUUUAGGCUAAAUGUGUUACUGCCAAACAAAAGUCAUCAACUUUAAAUGUUUCUUUCUUUGCAUCAAAACAUCCCUGAAUUCGGAGUUUACAAUCUUGAAUGGUUAAACCAUGUUCUUGCACUAUAGAAUCCCUAAAUCUGUUAUUUUUUUCUUUAAUGCCUAUCUUUUAGCAGUAUGUCGUUUGCUUUUUGAUGCAUAAUCAAUUAGUUUAUACAUAAUUGUUAUGACAGUGAAAGUCUUAACCUGAACUGACAUAUCCCAUGAUUCUCCAUCUUCUUCGUUUAAGAAUGCCAUUAGAAAGCAAAACUAAAGAUUCAUGCCCUUAUUUUCAUACCUUAUUGGUUGGAAUAUAAGAUCAUACGAAACCAUGACGUCAUGGUAAGUAUUAUAGGAUUUUGAACAAAAUUUGCACAACCAUGAACUGAGGGUAACAUGUUGAAGAAAUUGUGAAUGUACAAGAUCUAGUAAUGAUGCAAUGCUUCGUUUUCUUGUUUCCUGAGAUAUUUAUAUUCUCUUUAUGCUUAGAUUUUAGAGGCAAGUAACAAAGAUUGUUGAUUGUUCAAAUAUGGUUAUACUAAGUUUCUUUUUGUAUAGAAUUGAAGUCUGGAUGUGGUCAUAUUUUUAUCUUAUGGAAAUCACUAUCUCAAAAAAGAGACUCAUACAUGCACACAGUUAUGCUAUCAUUCACUUGGACACAGUGCUCUUCUAACCAAAUGCUGGAUGUACAUAAGUGUCAUGCUUUAUGCAUCUAAAAUGCUUUGAAGCACCGUGAAUUGCUAGACAAAUUGAUGUAUGACUUGUACAUUCAGAUUGAUGAGAUUAGUGAGACUCCAUUAGUCAAAGAAGUGCAUACAAAGUGAUAUUUUCUUUUGUAGGGAAAAGGCACCAUUUUCCACCUCCAUACAGAGACAAAGACAUGUUCACACAUGUAGUACAUAGCAAAGAGAGAAAGAUUUGCAUGCUGAUUAGAAAUUGGGAUGUUCACUUCUUCGUGUCAUUUAAUCAUGUGAAAUGAUCCAAGCAGUAAGGAUGCAAAUCUUUCAACAUGCUAUAGCUAUCAAGUUAUAAGAGAGACGUCCAUAAGGCAGCAACAAGUACAUGGAGCAGAUCAUUUACUGAAUGUUCAAAAACAACAACAACAAUUAAGUCGUAAGUCUCAUCUAUUUAAGGUCGGCUAUACGAACCUUUUAUCAAGGUACAUCCGAUGUAGUUUUAAGUUGGCUAUCAAUGACCUAAAUUAAUCCUUCACCUUUAUCAUCUGAGCUUGAUGGCCUGAGAAUAGCAUGAUGGUGUUAAAAUGCUUAUGUGGUAUUGUUAAAGUUACAAGCAGAAAUUAUCCUUCCAUGUGUUAUAAAAUGCUUAUGUGGGGUUAAUUGAGACAGAUAAUUGUCCUAAUCACAAUUAUGUGGUUUCAAGUCUGACCUGAUGUAAUCUGUUUGGUUGUCAUUUCUUUAUCUAACGUAUGUGGCAAAAUCAAUGCAUGACAGUUCGGGUGUCAACAUUGUGAUAAAAGUAUGGUUUUAUGAUAUUGAAUGCAAUUUCCGGAAGCCAAUAGACUUCUUUGAGAUGUUUAUUGUUAUAUUAACCAUCCCCUUUUUCAUGUAUAUGACAUGGACUAGAGAUUACUCUCACUUAGCUGAGGAUUUUUGAAAGGUUAAUUAAGCUUGUAGGUUGUGACGAUACGAUGAUUCUUUCAUUCUUAAUCGUUCGGUUUGAUAUCUGUCUAUUACAGGAUGAACACUGCACUCAAGAACUCCCCAUCCAUAUCACAAACGAGAGUUUUGAUAUUAGAAGCUUCAGAUUGCAACGCUCGUCUUCCCAUCCGAGUCUUCUUGACUUUGAUGGUGCCAUGGAUGACACUGGAGUUGCAGCUGGUUUCGGUCACCUACUCGUUACCUGGUGUCGUCUUCUUCCUCCGGCAUCAGUCCUUAUAGGGAAAAUAAUGGCCGGAUGACGCGUCGUGACGACAGCCCCUGGAAAAGCAAUAACGCUGACUAGACCCGCCCUGACAACCCCCGCUGUUGAACGACGACCUCCGACCCCGCAGGGUUGACCACGACAAGGCAGGACAAUGACCUGCCCCCCGCCCAUACCCUGCUACGAACCGCUCCACCACGCGACCCCAGCAGCCGCGUCAGACGCCAUCAGAGGUACCACCUCACUCCAGCAGGCGGUCAAGUCAGGUAAUGCUAACCUCCUCUAUAAAUACCCCUAAGUCCUAAACAAAAGGGGGACUCUCUGAACAUACUCAAGACUCGGAGGUUUCUCCUCCUCCUGAAACCCCUUCCACAUCUUUCGCUAACUUGAUCGUCGGAGGGAUCGGGUCGAGCACCCCGACCCGACCUUGGUGCAGGUACGAAGCCUUCGGAGAUCACCGCCUUCGGAGACUCAGCGGGCUCGAGGAGACUCCCCAUCCUUUGACCACCACCUUCCGGACCCGAACCAAGCCGCGACGACCUCAGGGCCACGGCUGAACUGACCGUAACA
rnacentral:lncRNA from 1 species